rnacentral:rRNA from 1 species
UUGGUGCUUGCAUCAUGAUUUACAUUUGAGUGAGUGGCGAACUGGUGAGUAACACGUGGGAAACCUGCCCAGAAGCGGGGGAUAACACCUGGAAACAGAUGCUAAUACCGCAUAACAACUUGGACCGCAUGGUCCGAGUUUGAAAGAUGGCUUCGGCUAUCACUUUUGGAUGGUCCCGCGGCGUAUUAGCUAGAUGGUGGGGUAACGGCUCACCAUGGCAAUGAUACGUAGCCGACCUGAGAGGGUAAUCGGCCACAUUGGGACUGAGACACGGCCCAAACUCCUACGGGAGGCAGCAGUAGGGAAUCUUCCACAAUGGACGAAAGUCUGAUGGAGCAACGCCGCGUGAGUGAAGAAGGGUUUCGGCUCGUAAAACUCUGUUGUUAAAGAAGAACAUAUCUGAGAGUAACUGUUCAGGUAUUGACGGUAUUUAACCAGAAAGCCACGGCUAACUACGUGCCAGCAGCCGCGGUAAUACGUAGGUGGCAAGCGUUGUCCGGAUUUAUUGGGCGUAAAGCGAGCGCAGGCGGUUUUUUAAGUCUGAUGUGAAAGCCUUCGGCUCAACCGAAGAAGUGCAUCGGAAACUGGGAAACUUGAGUGCAGAAGAGGACAGUGGAACUCCAUGUGUAGCGGUGAAAUGCGUAGAUAUAUGGAAGAACACCAGUGGCGAAGGCGGCUGUCUGGUCUGUAACUGACGCUGAGGCUCGAAAGUAUGGGUAGCAAACAGGAUUAGAUACCCUGGUAGUCCAUACCGUAAACGAUGAAUGCUAAGUGUUGGAGGGUUUCCGCCCUUCAGUGCUGCAGCUAACGCAUUAAGCAUUCCGCCUGGGGAGUACGGCCGCAAGGCUGAAACUCAAAGGAAUUGACGGGGGCCCGCACAAGCGGUGGAGCAUGUGGUUUAAUUCGAAGCUACGCGAAGAACCUUACCAGGUCUUGACAUACUAUGCAAAUCUAAGAGAUUAGACGUUCCCUUCGGGGACAUGGAUACAGGUGGUGCAUGGUUGUCGUCAGCUCGUGUCGUGAGAUGUUGGGUUAAGUCCCGCAACGAGCGCAACCCUUAUUAUCAGUUGCCAGCAUUAAGUUGGGCACUCUGGUGAGACUGCCGGUGACAAACCGGAGGAAGGUGGGGAUGACGUCAAAUCAUCAUGCCCCUUAUGACCUGGGCUACACACGUGCUACAAUGGAUGGUACAACGAGUUGCGAACUCGCGAGAGUAAGCUAAUCUCUUAAAGCCAUUCUCAGUUCGGAUUGUAGGCUGCAACUCGCCUACAUGAAGUCGGAAUCGCUAGUAAUCGCGGAUCAGCAUGCCGCGGUGAAUACGUUCCCGGGCCUUGUACACACCGCCCGUCACACCAUGAGAGUUUGUAACACCCAAAGUCGGUGGGGUAA